AGAGUUUGAUCCUGGCUCAGGAUGAACGCUGGCGGCGUGCUUAACACAUGCAAGUCGAACGAAGCACUUAAGCAGAUUUCUUCGGAUUGAAGCUUUUGUGACUGAGUGGCGGACGGGUGAGUAACGCGUGGGCAACCUGCCUCAUACAGGGGGAUAACAGUCAGAAAUGACUGCUAAUACCGCAUAAGCUUACAGAAUCG
rnacentral:rRNA from 1 species